rnacentral:lncRNA from 1 species
UGGUGUGAUGGUCAACGUUCACCAUGCCGCUCUCCAGGGAAGAAAAAGUCCUGAUUUGUAGCAUUUGCAGAUUUCCGUGUUGCAAACACUCUCACCAACCUUCCAUUACUAAAGGUGGAGUUAGGAAGAGAUCACACACACAACUGGUUUGCAUGAGCUGCUGAGAGCCAGCUCCAGGAUACCACAGUGCCUGUUCCCUUCUGAAGAUGAAAUUUCUCAUCGUCUCUGGACAUACCCCAGAGACCUUGGACCAUGGAGAAGAUACUUACCUUUUUCUGUGGGAGGAGCCAGUGCAUGGAGGAAGCGUGGUGCUCAACUGUCUACAUCAGAGUGCUGGAAUGUACAUGUCACCAGGCUAUUUUUCAUUAAAAAGUGAUGACAGCUAAAUAUAUUCCCUGACUCUGCGGCUAAUAACUUCCUGACUUAGACCUCACUUGCUAGACCCAUUCCUGAAACCAGACCGCACUAGUCCCUGUGGGGCUUCUAUUAUUGGUGAGCCAUCUCAACAGAUGCAGGUCUAACCAAAUCCAUGUCUAAUAUAAGCAUGCAAAUUGGGAGAUGAAAGGGAAAAUUUUAUGUGCUGAAUCACAAUCCACAGAGAGAGAAGUAGGGGCAUAAGCAGCUGCCUGGAAGACAGGACACCAAAAGUCAUUGUCAUAGAGGUCCUAAGCAGCACAGGGUUCAUUCCGUCCAGCCAUCAUUCAUAGCUAUGCCCUUUGAAUAUUCAUCUCUCACAUUAAAAAUAUUUGCCUGGCUACCCUGUUAUGAAGGCAGUAUGUGUAUAUCAAAGCAUGGUUUUUGCAGUGAGACACACAUGAAGCAUUUUAUCUGCAUUUUAAUACCAUUUAAUCCUCACUAUUAUUAUGCCCAUUUUACAGCUAGGAGAACUGAGUCACAAGGACACAAGUGGAAGUUCUUGAAUUAAAACCAAAAUAAGCCUAAUUCUAACAGCUGAGCUCUUUGCCAAUUUAUUUUAAGUCUCAUUUCCCUGCUGACCAACUCUCCCUUCGUCUUGCUUCAAAAACCACACUAAUUUCUUCUUCUCCUAUUUUCUUUUUUUUUUUCUGAGACAGGGUCUCACUCCCAUCACCCAGGCUGGAGUGCAGUGGCAUGAUCAUGGCUCACUGCAGCCUCGACUUCCUGGGCUCAGGUGAUUGUCCCACCUCAGCCUCCCGAGUAGCUGGAACUACAGGUGCAUGCCACCACACCCGGCUUUUUUUCUUUUUUUUCUUUUUAGUAGAGACUGGGAUCUUGACAUAUUGCCCAGGCUGGUCUCAAACUCCUGGGCUCAAGCGAUCCACCUCUCUCAGCCUCCCACAGUGCUAUGAUUACAGGCAAGAGCCACAGCACCAGGCCUAUUUCUUCUUUUAAGAGCUUGCCAAAUGCUACUAUCUUAACUUGGAACUUCUCCCCACCUCCAUCCCUUAAACCUAUCCAAGUUCUAGCCACGCUUUAAGGCUCUAGUAGGAAAGUCUCAACUUUCCUGUAAUGUUUUCUCAGAUGAUUCUAACCCAGGUAGACAUCCCACUCAUAUUACAUGUACUGCCUCUGUUGGCAUUAAUUUGGCGUUGCCUCAGUUGUACCAUUUCAUAACUUGUUUGGCUUAUUUUCUGACCUAAUGCGCAAAUUGUCAAGGGCAGAAACCAUGUGUAGACCUCAUAAUGCUAAGUUCUAAGUAGAUACUAAAAAUUUUUUUAAUGAAUGAAUAAUACUGAUACCAUAGGUCUAUUGAUGGACUGAAGCUCUGAAUAUUCUAGAACUGGGAGGAAGAUUCAACAUUUUUGAAGGCUUACUACGUGCUAAGCCCUAAGUUAGGCAUUUUAUACAAUGAUUUUAUUUAAACCUAUAUGGCUGAUAUUGUGACUUCCAUUUUACAGAUUUUUUAAAAGGUCCAGAGAGGUUAAGAAAUUUGCUAACACAGGGCUGGGUGUGGUGGCUCAUGCCUGUAAUCCCAGCACUUUGGGAGGCCGAGGCGGGCAAAUCACGAGGUCAGGAGUUCGAGACCAGCAUGGCCAACAUGGUAAAACCCCGUCCCUACUAAAAAUACAAAAAAUUAGCUGGGUGUGGUGGUGGGCGCCUGUAAUCCCAGCUACUUGGGAGGCUGAGGCAGGAAAAUCACUUAAAUCUGGGAGGCGGAGGUUGCAGUGAGCCAAGAUCAUGCCACUGCACUCCAGCCCAGGAGAUAGUGUGAGGCUCUGUCUCAAAGAAAAGGAAAUUUGCUAACACGUUAUUAGAUUGUGGCAGAGCUACGACUUAAAUGUAGACUAGUCUGACUCCAAAGCCCGCACCACACAGCCACAUGGGUCAUCACUGCAUCUGUGAACGAGUUAACCUACACAAACCCCAGGGGACGGGGAUCGUAGCUAGCCCAGAAAGAAAUGACAAAUGGUCACUUGGUAAUACAUUCUAGGUUCUGUUAACUCUAAUAUUCAGAAAGUUGUUCUUCAUGUCUGACUUAAUUCUCUCCUGCUUCCAUUUCAUGCCAUUUCCCCUUGUUUUGUAGUCAAGCAUAUGGAAAACAUCUGGCUACCAUUUCCUAGACACCACUCCUUCUUGGUCUAAAAAAUUCCUGUGGUAGCAGCUCAACUUUAUUUUGUGUCAUCUAAAAUAUAGCCACACACCUUUUAGAGUGUAGGUUGUCCUAACUGAUAGGCUUUCCUACCCAGGCAGAAUUAUAGCUGUCAGCAGGGAAAAUGAGUGAGAGCUACUGGCAGGAUGAGCUAAUCCGUGGUCAGAUGCUCUUGGAUCAAAGAUUCAUGCUGAAACCAGCCGUCAGAGCAAAGAAGCCAAGUUCAUGGAUGAAAAAAAAAUGAGGCUGGGAAGCACAAUGCACCCCAGUGACCUACCAUUACCACUGGCCUCAAAAUAGCCUUGGAGCCAGGAUAGGGGGUGGGAGAAUAUAGAAACCAGGCAAGUAGGCCAUGGCAGAGAUUAAUUUGGGGAAACCAAGGAUGGGCAGACAGCCCCCAUCCCCUGGCAUCUGGGGAACAAGGGCAGCUGUACAGGAAACAUAAAAACACAGUGGAGACCAGAGGAGGGGAGUCAAAUGAGAAUGCUAAAUGUUUGGAACCCAGUGGCUAAGAAAGACGUUGCCAAGUGUCACACUGAAAACAGGAAAGCUUUCCUGGGCCCUGGGUGUGGAGGCCACCGAACAAUGAAAGGGGAAGCCUGUAAGAAGAAUAACAAUGACACGGAAGCCUGCUCCAGCCUGGUGAAAUCCCUUCUGCAGUUUUUACAAGAAGCAAAACAAACAACAGUCUGACCCCUCGGCUCGCCCCCGACGCCACACCCCCUCCUCAGUCCGCAUGUUGGGUCAGGAAGGGCAGUGGUGUGGCCAGAUCCAUGAAAGGGAUUCUAAGAACAAAGCCUGUGCCGUUUACCUGCAGAUCAAAGUUUGCCGUUAAUAACAUGUGUGUUGGAGAGGGCAGAGAGAGGACCGUUGCCCCUGCAUUCCAUUAAAAAGGGAUUAUGGGCUGUCUGACCAGAUGACAGAGCCAAGGUUGGAGAAUUCUUCCAAAGAAUACCUCAAGGCAACAAAACUGUCAUUUCUUACAGAGGAGCUGCCCAAUCUUUCACCUUCUGCUGUGCUCACCUAUGAUGCCAGCCCCCAUAACAACAAAAUCUUUCUCUUGAAGAAGAGUAAUGUAACUUUUCCAGGAAUGCUCAUGUUUUUCUCUCAACCGGGAAAUUAGAUAUUGAAAAGGAACAGUCUUUGUUACCUUAGAGUUAUUCUGAAAGUUUAAUUUCUUUUUAAGCAGAAAAUAUAGACUCAAAAUGCAGAGGAAGCAUUUCUGUAUCCAUGCAAGAAAAAAAAAUGAUAAAGAAACUAGAGUGGAUAUGAUCUAAUAAGCAUGUUAGGGACAAACCCUAAAGAUAACUCAAGGAUUUUAAAAGGAUUAAUGGCAAGUCAUGAUGAUUCAUGCCAGUAAUCCCAGCACUUUAGGAGGCUGAGGUGGCAGGAUGACUUGUGCCCAGGACUUCAAGACCAGCCUGGGCAACAUAGUGAAACCUCGUCCUUACGAAUAAUUUAAAAAGAAAAAAAUUAGCUGGUCAUGGUGGUGUGUGCCUGUGGACCCAGCUGUUUGAGAGGCUGAAGUGGCAGGAUCACUUGAGCCAGGGAUUUUAAUGCUGCAGUGAGUCAUAUGGACUUCACUGCACUCCAACGUGAGAGACAAAGCGAGACCCCAUCUCAAAUAAAACAAAAUAAUUAAUGUUGUUUAUGAGAAAAGAAGUAAUGGAAAUGUGAAGAGGUGAUUCUGCAGGCCAACCAGAAGCUAUGGAAAAGACCACCUUAAGCUCAAAGAAAAAUACAGACUCAGUUGUUACCACCGAAGUCUUAUCAAAAACCUUCACCAGUCACGGAGCUUUUUUUUUUUAUAUAUAUACUUUAAGUUUUAGGGUACAUGUGCACAAUGUGCAGGUUAGUUACAUAUGUAUACAUGUGACAUGCUGGUGUGCUGCACCCACUAAGUCAUCAUCUAGCAUUAGGUAUAUCUCCCAGUGCUAUCCCUCCCCUCUCCCACCACCCCACAACAGUCCUCAGAGUGUGAUGUUCCCCCUCCUGUGUCCAUGUGUUCCCAUUGUUCAAUUCCCACCUAUGAGUGAGAAUAUGCGGU